CAGUUGAUGUUUCAGCGGAGAGCACAGGUUGGGAAAAACAGUGCCUUGAAGAGAGGGAAAAGGAAAAUUCUAUUUAACAGAUUGAGUGAACCUCUUGAUUUUGGGGAUGAACCUUGCAGUAGGAUUCAAACCAAUGCUUGGAGGCGCACAGACAAUGGACAGUUUGGAGAAACAACUUAUUUGUCCUAUUUGUCUGGAAAUGUUCACAAAGCCAGUUGUGAUUUUACCAUGUCAACACAACUUGUGUAGAAAAUGUGCCAAUGACGUUUUCCAGGCUUCCAAUCCAUUCUGGCAGUCGAGAGGCUCCACAACAGUGCCUUCAGGGGGUCGCUUUCGCUGUCCUUCCUGCCGACAUGAGGUAGUACUGGAUCGCCAUGGAGUUUAUGGCCUGCAGAGAAAUCUCUUGGUGGAAAAUAUCAUUGAUAUCUACAAGCAAGAAUCAUCCAGGCCACUGCAUACCAAAUCUGACCAGCAGUUAAUGUGUGAAGAGCAUGAAGAGGAAAAGAUUAAUAUUUACUGCCUGACUUGUGAGGCUCCAACUUGCUCAAUGUGCAAAGUCUUUGGUGCUCACAAAGAUUGUGAAGUGGCACCUCUCCAAAAUGUCUACAAACGUCAAAAGACUGAGCUCAGUGACGGUAUUGCAAUGCUGGUGGCAGGAAAUGACAGAAUCCAGGCAAUCAUUACUCAGCUGGAAGAGAUUUGUAAAACGAUUGAGGAUAACAGCAGAAGACAAAAGCAACUCCUUUGUGAAAAAUUUGAUUCUCUGUACGCCAUUCUCGAAGAGAGGAAAAUAGAAAUGCUUCAAUGCAUUACGCGUGAACAGGAGGAGAAAGUACAGUAUGUGCGGUCUCUGAUGAGACAACAUGGGGAUCACUUGGAGGGAGCCAGCAAACUUGUGGAAACAGCUCUGCAGUUUACAGAGGAACCCCAGAUGGCAGUGUUCCUGCAGAAUACAAAGCAGCUGAUUAAAAAAGUUAUUGAUACCUCAAAAGCAGCUCAGUUGGAGAGAACGGAACCUGGAUACGAAAACAUGGAUCAUUUUGUGAUCAAUCUUGGAAGAGCUGAACAGGUGCUACAAAGGAUAAAUUUCCAAACAGCUGAGAUGAGAAUGAGUGGCUGCCUUCCUGACCUGCUGAUGAAACACUCACGUAGAUUGAUGCCGUGGAAAAGCCAGAAUGCCGAGCAGAUUACCAGGGAGAAGAAGAGGAAGAAGUAGAGGAAGAAGAGAUAGAAGAAGGUGAAGGAGCUGAAGAGGAUGGAGAAACAACUGAUGAUCAACACUGAACUUAAAUGAAGAAAAAGAGGACAGAACUCACAAAGCAACUUACAGAUUUAUGCUAGGAAAUGAUUUAUUCAUAAAUAAUGUAUUGCUUACAUACUGAAUGAAUAUUGAUAUUUGUCAGUUUGCAAUGAGGUUAUUUAUUUGCCAUUUUGUUUGCUGAUUAUAACUAUGUGAAGCAAUUAACACAGUUUUGCAGCUUCUCAAUUAGACCAAACACUUCUGUUUGUUUUUAUUGGUAACGAAGUUUAAAUAUAGCUUUAAACUCUAGAAAAAUAUUAAUGUGACACUAUUGCAAUCUUGGGCCUUUAAAAAAAAAUCUGGCUACACUGCUUGCAAGAAUGUGUCUGAGAUUACUGUGAUAUUUGUGCACAAUUCAGCUUGUUUCGAAUCUCUAAGCCGUUAUAUUAUGGCUCAAUUCAAAAACGGAAAUUGCUGGAAAAGCACAGUAGAAUGUUGCUAUAAAAUCCCCACUGUGUAGAAAUGGGACAUUUGGCCAACAAGUCCAGACCAACCCUCAAAAGAUCAUUCCACCCAGACCCAUUCCCCAACCUUAUCCCGUAACCCUGCAUUUCCCAUGGCUAACACACCUAACCUUCACACUUGAACACUGUGGGUACUUUAGCAUGGCCAAUUCACCUAACUUGCACAUCUUUGGACUGUGGAGGUAACUGGACCACCUGGCAGAAACCCACGCAGACAUGGGGAGAAAGUGCAAACUCCACAUAGAGGCUGGAAUUGAAUGUGGGUGCCCGGCACUGUGAAGUAGCAGUGCUAACCACUGAGCCACCUUCCUAAAACCACUAUGCCACACCUAAUUCAGCAGCAUCUGUGGAGAGAAUACAGAGUCGACAUUUCAGAUCCGAUGAACCUUCAUCAGAAGUUUUGAUGAAUAAUCACUGGACGCAAGAUGUUGCCUGUGUUUCUCUCCCACAGAUGCUGCCAGAUCUGCUGGGCUUUUCCAGCAAUCUAUUUUUGUUUCCAAGCUGUAGACAAUGCUUGACAUGGUAUUAUAGAAAAGUAGCAAGAUAUGAAAUUCACAAAGAAAAGUAAAACAGAAUAUAAUUCAGUGGAAAGAAAGAUACUUUCCAAUUAUUACUGCUUCACUGACAUUGCCAUUAUGUUGUUUAUGGGAUGAGGAUGGAAGACAGUAAAUACUGUCAGUUCUUCAAUCAAACUAGUUUACAUUUACAGAAUUUCUUGUAAAUACAGACAUAAUGACUGGCAAAGCAAUUUCUGGAAUUCUAAAUCUGUACCUGGAAGCAAACAGCAGCUUCAAAACAGUCUGGAUCAUUGAUUACAGUCAUUAAAUUGAUUAUUAUAGAAUUCCUACAGUGUGGAAACAGUCCCUUUGGCCCAACAAAUCCACACUGACCCUCAAAGCAUCCCUCCCAUACCCAUCCCCCUGUAACCCACCUAAUGUACAAAUCCCUGAACACUACAGACAAUUUAGCAUGGCUAGUCCACCUGGCCUGCACAUCUUUGGACUGUGGGAGGAAACCAGAGGAAACCCACACUGAAACGGGGAGAACGUGCAAACUCCACAUAGUAAGUCACCCGAGGAUGGAAUUCAACCCAGGUCCCUGGUGCUGAGAGGCAGCAAUGCUAGCCACCAUGCCGCCCUGCUCACAUAGUUCUGUUUUUGUUGCUUUAGCUUGUCUUUGACCUGCAAAUUAAGUCAGUUUUGAUUUUACUCAUUAUUGCAAAUAUGUUAAAAUAUAGUUUUUCUUUAAUUCAAUGUUGAUUAAUGAUAUUACAUUUUCAAAUUUUAUACACUCUUCAGUGGAUUGAUCUUGGACUGGAAGGCAUAGAAUCAAGAAGCAUAUAUGUCAUUUAAUGAUGGGCCUAGGAUUAAAAAUCUUGCAUUCAACACUGAUCUUACUUAGUUUUAUUCAUAUCUUCAUUAGUUAAUUGGUAAUUGCAAUUUUGAAACAAAAUUCACUAAAAUUUACAAUGUAUUUUAAAUGCAAUUUCUAGAAUAUAUAUGAAUUUAUAUUCUAAGAUAUAGGUUAGCAUUCUAAUGAAUGUUUUAUGAAUGAUGCACAAGGUACUAUUCUACACAAAAACCGAAAGAACUGCAGAUGCUGCAAAUCAGGAUCAAAACAGAAAAAAAGUUGCUGGAAAAGCUCAGCAGGUCUCGCAGCAUCUGUGAAAAAAAAUUCUGAGUUAGCAUUUUGGGUGCAGUGACCCUUCCUCAGAUAUUUUGCAAUAUGUACAUAACAUCACAUCAUUGCUUCUGAAAUUUUACAUAAAAUCUUUGGAAAAUGGUUAAAGGAAGUAGAUUAUGUAAUAAUUUAACCUCACGUAAUUCUGAAGUGCAAACAGAAUGCUAUGCACUGAAGAAGACAUUGUAUUUGAUCAAUGUGAAAAAAGUUUAGUUUUGGAUCCACCAUUUUACAGCGUCUGCUGCUUCAUAAAUUAAAUGGUAUUCAAGUAUUAUGUAAUUUACAAUAGUUCCACCUAAAGCCACGUCAUAUAGUGACAUGGUGGCUCAAUGGUUAUAGUACUGCUGCCUCACAGCACCAGGGACAUGGAUUCGACUCUAUCCUUGGGAGACUGUGUGUGUUUACUGCAGGUGCUUUGGUUUCCUCCUGUUGCCUAAAGGUAUGCAGGUGAGAGGGAUUGGCCGCGCUAAAUUGCUUCUAGUGUCCAGUGAUGGCAAGCUACUUGGAUUAACCUUGGAAAAUGUAGAGUUACAGGGUUGGGUCGGAAUGGGAUGCUGUUCAAAGAGAUGAUCUGGACUUGGCAGGCUUAAUGGCCUGCUUCUAUGCUAUGCAGAUUCUAUAUGUCUACAAUGUUAAAAUAUAUAAAUUGGCAGCACAUACACUAAAAUUGGAAUGAUACAGAAAAGACUGGGGUGGAAAGCAAAUUUGUGAAGCAAUCCAUAUCAUAGGGCCCUCUUGUGGUACAGUAAUAAUGUCCCUGCCCCUGGAACAGGAGGCACACUUCUUCCAGAGGUGUGUAAAAACAUCGCUGAACAGAUUAAUUAGAAAAAUAGGUUAAAUAAAAUCUUUAUUCUGCAUCAAAACAUAUCCACUGGUCAUCAUAAAAUUCAUGCUGUAUUUAUUGAAUGAAGAUUAAGAAUCAUUUAUUUGAGGAUUCUUCUUUGCAGCAGUAAAGCAUUUUCAAUGUUGUUCAUGUUAAAUAAAUUUUAGAAAAAAGACUGUUUAAUAUCAAUUUAACCCCUUCAAAUCUAACAAGAGAAUCUGUUUUCCAUACUUGUGUGUACAAGAUGAAACUUGGAAGAUUUUAUCCACAAGACAACUUCUAAAUUGUACUUUGAUUAAUUCUAAUUCUAAAAUUCAGAUAUGAAUCAAACUGUCAGCAGCUCAAAACAUUUAGAUUUAAAUUUAUUGUUUUAAACACAAUCAUUUAACAAAAUCCAGAAAUGUAGCUCAAUGAUCUCAGUCCCUUUACAAUCAUUAUAGUUUUUUCAGACUGAACAAUAUUUUGAAUCAAAAUAAUGCUUUUAAAGAAUUUUUAUUACAAAAUAUAAAUGAGAAAAAAAAUUGAUGAUGAAGUUAGUUUGUGAAUUUUUUUUUGGCAAAUUUAAAUCAAACAUUUCUUUCAGCCUUAAAAGCGUUCCAUAAAACAGAUAUGGUUAGUGCAUUUUUUAAGUGACUUUGUUGGGGGGGGGGGUGUUUCACAUGAUGAAUAUCAAAGAGUAAGCUCUUAAUUUGAUGACAGAAUGAGCUAUGAGUUUAUUACCCAUUCUAAAUUCAUAAUUUAUUUCCCAAUUGUCUCCAUAAUUUUACGAUUGUUAUCUGCUUGCAUCCAUUGAUUUUCAUUCUUGGCAAUCUCAAUCAUUUCCCUUAAGAUAUGAAAUGUGAGAUCCAAGGAAUUGAGUGGGUCAGCAGGUCUCUUGGAGUGUCCUGUGAAGGCUGCUACUAUACCUUGGUCAGCUUGCUGGAUGGGCACGAGGCUUUUUGUAUUUAAGGAAGGUUUACGUAGGAAACGGCUGGCUUUUUUCACAAAGAUAUCUUCCAACAUCUGCAGAUAAGUUGGAGGUAGGUUUGAGAAUGUCAUCAUGUACUUGGGAUUUUUCCCCAAAGAUUGGAGUAACUUUUCCUUCAGAAUGUAAGAAAGGGAUUGGUAAUUUUCUUCAAUAUUGGCUGUGUUGAUAUUGGGAUCAUAAAUGUUGUCAAAGACAUUCAGAUCUACAGCAUGACAAACAGCUGGAGGGGUGCGACUGGCAAAUAGUAGUAAGGCUGCAAGGAAAAUCAGUGGAGUUGGUGUCAUGCUGGUUAGAGAUCUGCAAAUAAAGACGUGAAAAUUUAAAUUAAAACACAGCCUGAUGCAGCAAAAACAUUCUUUUUGAGUAUCGCAGCACCUCGUUUUAAUGGUCAAGAGUAUCAUGCAUUUAAUUGCAUUUUUUGCAACUUAUUUUAAUAUGCCACUGUAAAGCAUCUGGAAUAAAAAAAAGGAGUAAUACCAUGGGAUAUCUAAGGAGUAAGAUGACAGCUAACACUAAGAUUGUAAAUUGCUCAAAAAUAAGUUGGUUUUGAAUGCUUCCUAGUUCAUGAACGGUUGAUGGAAAGAAAUGAUGGACUUGCUUGGGUUGUUUGCUGCUUACUCAUACCUUAUUAGUGCUUUAUUUCUUCUGACUGGUUAUAUAAUUAGUUACAGACUUCAUGAGCCAAACAGAAAAUGUGGAAUGAUCGUUUAUUUCUAAUUCACACAACUACUAUGCUUAAGGGAUAAUGGGAACUGCAGAUGCUGGAGAAUCCAAGAUAAUAAAAUGUGAGGCUGGAUGAACACAG